GAUGAACGCUGGCGGCGUGCCUAAUACAUGCAAGUCGAGCGAACAGACGAGGAGCUUGCUCCUCUGACGUUAGCGGCGGACGGGUGAGUAACACGUGGAUAACCUACCUAUAAGACUGGGAUAACUUCGGGAAACCGGAGCUAAUACCGGAUAAUAUAUUGAACCGCAUGGUUCAAUAGUGAAAGACGGUUUUGCUGUCACUUAUAGAUGGAUCCGCGCCGCAUUAGCUAGUUGGUAAGGUAACGGCUUACCAAGGCGACGAUGCGUAGGCGACCUGAGAGGGUGAUCGGCCACACUGGAACUGAGACACGGUCCAGACUCCUACGGGAGGCAGCAGUAGGGAAUCUUACGCAAUGGGCGAAAGCCUGACGGAGCAACGCCGCGUGAGUGAUGAAGGUCUUCGGAUCGUAAAACUCUGUUAUUAGGGAAGAACAAAUGUGUAAGUAACUAUGCACGUCUUGACGGUACCUAAUCAGAAAGCCACGGCUAACUACGUG
rnacentral:rRNA from 1 species